rnacentral:rRNA from 1 species
UACGUAGGGGGCUAGCGUUGUCCGGAAUCAUUGGGCGUAAAGAGCGUGUAGGCGGUCCGGUAAGUCCGCUGUGAAAGUCGGGGGCUCAACCCUCGAAUGCCGGUGGAUACUGUCGGGCUAGAGUGCGGAAGAGGCGAGUGGAAUUCCUGGUGUAGCGGUGAAAUGCGCAGAUAUCAGGAAGAACACCAAUGGCGAAAGCAGCUCUCUGGGACGGUACUGACGCUGAGACGCGAAAGCGUGGGGAGCGAACAGG